rnacentral:rRNA from 1 species
AUGCCCCCAUCUAUCUCGCUUCUCUCUCUCUCUCGCCUUCUCUUUUUCCGCCGCCGCCGCCUUCGCCGGCCGGUUCCGACGAAAUCCGGCGGUCUCAGCCAUCGUUCUGGCUACCGAUCUCCUCCUCUCCUCGUGCUCUAUAUGCUCCACUCCAUCGACUCGUCGAUCCCACCCUCCCGUGCUUGCCCGCAUCGGUUUUACCCGUCUAGGGUUUCGGGGUGCUCGACCUCCUCGUCGCCGGCGAUGCUCCGCCGUCUUGGUCCGCUGAUGCAGCUCUGCCUCCAUGGCUCCAUCCCCAUGCUUGUAGCAGCGGCCCAAGGAGGAGCUUCAUACUCGGCAUGUGGAGCUCGAGACGCGACGGUGGUCCAUGGCACCGAGACCAUCCGUCUUCCUCUACAGAAGCAGCGCGGGCUGCAGAGACGCCCGGCUCCAUCCUGCUCUCAUAUCGCAGUUCUUCUGCCCGACGAAGAAGAGAGGCGAAUAGGAGAACACGAUGCAAAUGUUGUUUCACUAUGCCUACAAGGUGUUCGAAGAAAUUCCAAGAAGACUGACAGGGAGUUUUUGUAUCAGAACAUAUGUUUGUUUUCAAUGUCUUUGAAUUCACGUAUAACUUGUAGGACAAGUGAUGAGGAGGGGAAGCGGCUACGAUCAAGCCACUGGCGUUGGGUCGACGAAGUGGCGCCCCUCUCCCCUGAGCUUGGCAGCAGCAGCAGCGAGGACAUCCGCGACGUAUAUCCCAAGAAGUUGCCAAACUACAAGGCCAAGCUGAAAAAUUUCUUUGAAGAGCACUUGCAUACUGACGAAGAGAUACGCUAUUUUCUUGAGGGCAGUGGUAGACUGGUAGGAUACUUUGAUGCGAGGGACCAAAAUGAAGAGUGGAUCUGUAUAGCAGUGAAGGAAGGGGGCAUGAUUGUUUUGCCUGCAGGAAUGUAUCACGGAUUCACAUUGGAUAAUGACAACUACAUCAAAGAUACUAUGCUCCAGUUGUUUGUAGUUGUGCUCCGAAUAGAUGCCCCCCUACUUCUGCCCUACACAUACUGGAAGCAGGAGAAUGAAAGGGGUGUGAAGCUCGCCGUCGACACGCAUCGGCUUUGUGUGCGCCGCCAGCGGUCAACCACUCGGCAUCCAACCAGGAGUUACAAGGAGCGAUGGUACAAUUUUACAAUCUGCUAUGCUUUUGUACUUGAAGUGCACUGCUUCCGAAGAAUGAUCCUUAACUUAGUAACACCUGAUGAGCUUGAGGAACAUUGUUAUUGGGGCAAUGAGGUUAAGCUCUAUGAGCACCAUGUAGACGCCCUAUUUGUCAUGUUCUGGCGCAAAAAACCAAACAUCAAUAUUUUCAGGUCCACUACACCAAAGAGAAUCCGAUGGACUACAUUAACCUGGAUGAUGAUACACCGAAGAUCAGGCUUGCUGACGGCAAUGUGCAUGAUGAUUGUCGCAUCAUGCUGUGAACUGACAAGAGGGCCACCAUCACCACCAACUUGUCAGAGUUCUGCCACCGUGCACACAUCCGCGAAGGAGACAUCUGCACCUUCCACUUCAAGGUCACCGAAAAUGCCGCCUUGCUCUCACCGUGCAUCGCCUCUAGACGCAUUAUCGACAAUGACAGAAGUCGCGUAUGAAUAUGAUCCAUCCAUGUACGGAGCUUAUGACGUACUGAAUCUUGCUUCUUCUUUUGGAUGUUGCAACAUGGAAGAAGGGGGGAAGGGCACGGACAAGGGUGAACUACCGAAGGGUAUGGGGAGCACAUGCACAUGUAAGGAUUAG